UACGGGGGGGAGCAAGCGUUGUUCGGAUUUACUGGGCGUAAAGCGCGUGUAGGCGGCUUGGCGAGUCGGAUGUGAAAGCCCACGGCUCAACCGUGGAAGCGCAUCCGAAACGGCCUCGCUCGAGUCUCGGAGAGGAAGGUGGAAUGCUUGGUGUAGAGGUGAAAUUCGUAGAUAUCAAGCAGAACACCUGCGGCGAAGGCGGCCUUCUGGACGAUGACUGACGCUGAGACGCGAAAGCGUGGGAGCAAACAGG
rnacentral:rRNA from 1 species